UGCCUUACUGUUGUGGCAGAUCUUUGCAAGUGUCUUUUACUGGGAUUCUCUGCCAUGGAGGCAGCCCUUACAAUUUCUCUUGUAAUCAACAGAGGCCAACAACUAAACCACAAGAAGUGACAGUCAACUUGGAGGAUCCAGGAUAUCCCUGCUUUCAGCUUAACAGAAAUCAUCCACACAUGGACAGGAAGGAAUGAAGCUUUUUCCUGCAUCACAAGAGCCAUCUGCAAAUCAAGAGACCUAAGAAGUUCAAUAUUUCUUUUUAAUUCUGUUAAGAGCUAAAUACAUCAAUAAAAUACUUUAUGCCUCCUA